GCCGGCGAGGGCGGCGGCACGGUCGUGCGCGCGCUGUACUCGCGCCUCGCCGCCAAGCACCGGCUGCGUGCCUGGGUCCAGCUCCUCGCCCUGGUG
rnacentral:tRNA from 1 species